rnacentral:rRNA from 1 species
GAUGAACGCUAGCUACAGGCUUAACACAUGCAAGUCGAGGGGCAGCAUGGUCUUAGCUUGCUAAGGCCGAUGGCGACCGGCGCACGGGUGAGUAACACGUAUCCAACCUGCCGUCUACUCUUGGACAGCCUUCUGAAAGGAAGAUUUAAUACAAAGAGGUCGGACUACUACUAGUAGGUUACGUUACCAACUAGUUUCGUUACCAACUAGUUAGUUAAAGGUUUAAAAGGUUCCGGUUUACCGGGUAACGGAACGUA